rnacentral:lncRNA from 1 species
UUUAGGGUAUGAAGGAGAGAAUUUGGCAAAGAUUCUCAGGGAAUUAGAGAUGAGUACGGUGGUAUAUAUAGAUCGAUGGUCCCUGGAAGUGAUACCCCAACAAACUGAAGAAAAGACUGAUCCAGUCCCCUUUCAAAUCAUCAAUAACUACUUCUCCAUUGGUGUGGUCAGUAGACUGGGGCACAGAGGGAAGGGUGGAAGUGGGGGUUAAGCAGGCAGAGGCUGGAGGAGGACAGAAAGGGAAGGGAGAGGUUAAAGAAGCAGUGAUAUGGGGAAAUUAGAAAUGGGGUAUAGUGGUGUGAGCUGCAAAUAAAGAAUGUGGAACAUGUGGAACAUGCUGCACCUAGACUGGAGAGGCAGGAGAGGGGGAGGGGGGGAGGGAGAGACAGAGAGAGAACACGAACAUGAAUAUGCUCUGAGAUUAGGCCAGUUUCUGAUAUCAUAUGCCCUUAACUCUCCAGGAUGCUUCUAUUGCUCACCGAUUUCACAUCAUGCGAGAGAAAUAUCCUGAGAAGUUCAAUAGCAGGUGAAGGAAAAAGGGGAGGAGCAUGGGCAUACAUGGUGUCAGGGACUGGCUUUGUGACCAAGUUUGACUCAGAAUGUUUAGAUGGGCAGUGAUACCUCUAGGAAACCCUGCACCUCCGAAAAAUAAAGCUACCCUUGUUCCCCUUGGAGUUGGGAGAUUGAUGCUCUUCCCUGUUAUUUACCACCUCUACCACCACUGUAUAACCUGUUCCCUCCCUACUGGGCCUUGUGCUGGGGCUGUUACAGAAUGAAGAACAAGCUAUGGUACUUCGAAUUUGCCACAUCUGAAUCCAUCUUCUCAACAUGCAAAAAGUUGGAGGAGUCUUUGACAGUUGAGGUAUGUAUGAUGAGACCCUACUCUACGUCCUUUCUGCUUCUUAUAGCCAAGCAUUUCCCUGCACAGGCACCCCGAGGAACUUCCCAUAUUCUUCUUCUUCUUUAAAAUGCCUUUAUUUUAUUUUUUAAAUUUUUUAUGUGAUGCUAAGGAUCAAACCCAGUGCCUCACAUGUGCUAGGCAAGUCCUCUGCCACUGACCUACAACCCCAGCCCCUACUUCCCAUAUUCUUGAACUUAUACUUCUUUGACCUCCCAGCUCUCCAACCUUGACUUCCUAAGUCCUCAAGAUGCACUAGUUCCUUUUUUCUUUCAUCUCUUACAAACCUCCAAAUCCUGGCCUUCCUAGUUUGUUACAUAGUCAAGGGAACAGUUACAUCCAUGAUUAUAACAUGAGGUGAGGAUCUGUGCUCUUCCCAACUGGGGUUGUGCCCCACUCCCCUCAGAUCUGUGGGAAACCGCUGGAUCUGAGUAACAUGUCCCUAGAAGGCAUCGCAGUGCUGAACAUACCUAGCAUGCACGGUGGCUCCAACCUCUGGGGUGAUAUCAAGAGACCCCAUGGGGAUAGCUGUGAGAUCAACCAGGCCUUGGGCACAACAGCUAAAGUCAUCACUGACCCUGAUAUCCUGAAAACUUGUGUACAAGGUGAGAGGAGUUGAGUGGGCAGGACUAAGGGGAAAGUGUGACUCCCUUUGGGAAAACACUGCCUCUAUAAAACUUAUCUCCCUAUUUCUCACUGCAGACCCAAGUGACAAACGACUGGAAGUAGUGGGGCUGGAGGGUGCAAUUGAAAUGGGCCAGAUCUAUACCAAGCUCAAGAGUGCUGGACAUCGGCUGGCCAAGUGCUCUGAGAUCACCAUUCAGUAAGGAAGAUUCCAGUCAGUAGCCUGAGGGAAGAAGGGAAGAGGGCAUGGGAAUAGUGGGAAGGGCUAGAGAUCAUCCUCAGUGACAAAGGGUCUCAGGGUCAAGGGGAACCAGAGUCUUGAUAUUUGGUCAGUAAAAAAUCUAUACCAAUCUUCCUUGAUCUCCCACAGCACCAUAAAAACCCUCCCCAUGCAAAUUGACGGGGAACCCUGGAUACAGACACCCUGUACAGUAAGUAUUGCCUAUGCCUGCCAAAAACAGAAUCCUCAGGCUCCAUGGAUCCUCAAUUUCCAUCCCACAACCUUCUUGACUUCCUCCCAAUACCCAAAGUUCCCCUUGAUACCCUUCCUCUAAAACUCUGAUUUCUCAGACUGGCUCCCUACCAUGAUCUCCCCAGAACCCCAGAAACCCACCAACAGUGCCACAUCUUUCCCCCAAAUCCUUUUGUUCCAUCUCCAAGGUAUCAGAUUCAGCCUCUGAACAUGCUCCCUUCCCUUCCCUUCUAGAUCAAGAUCACGCACAAGAACCAGAUGCCCAUGCUCAUGGGCCCACCACCCCGCUCCUCCAAUUUCUUUGGCUUCUUUUCUUGUCCCACUUAGCCUCCAACCUAGCCUUGAAUCCACCUCCCUGUCCCUGAAUUCCACCCCCUAGGCUCUGUACAUUGCUGCCACAUCCUCCUGCUAGUUCAGGGGAGUAUUCCUUUGCCCCCACAAUAUUUAUUAUCCUGAUUCACCUGUCCCCCACCCACAUACAUAUAUGCACAUACACCACACAUAUGUUAAAAGUGCCUCUUCUAAAUAAAGUGACUUUUAUUUUACCGGGUUAUUUG